rnacentral:rRNA from 1 species
GUACGUAGGCGGCUUUUUAAGUCGGAUGUGAAAUCCCUGAGCUUAACUUAGGAAUUGCAUUCGAUACUGGGAAGCUAGAGUAUGGGAGAGGAUGGUAGAAUUCCAGGUGUAGCGGUGAAAUGCGUAGAGAUCUGGAGGAAUACCGAUGGCGAAGGCAGCCAUCUGGCCUAAUACUGACGCUGAGGUACGAAAGCAUGGGGAGCAAACAGGAUUAGAUACCCUGGUAGUCCAUGCCGUAAACGAUGUCUACUAGCCGUUGGGGCCUUUGAGGCUUUAGUGGCGCAGCUAACGCGAUAAGUAGACCGCCUGGGGAGUACGGUCGCAAGACUAAAACUCAAAUGAAUUGACGGGGGCCCGCACAAGCGGUGGAGCAUGUGGUUUAAUUCGAUGCAACGCGAAGAACCUUACCUGGUCUUGACAUAGUAAGAACUUUCCAGAGAUGGAUUGGUGCCUUCGGGAACUUACAUACAGGUGCUGCAUGGCUGUCGUCAGCUCGUGUCGUGAGAUGUUGGGUUAAGUCCCGCAACGAGCGCAACCCUUUUCCUUAUUUGCCAGCGGGUUAAGCCGGGAACUUUAAGGAUACUGCCAGUGACAAACUGGAGGAAGGCGGGGACGACGUCAAGUCAUCAUGGCCCUUACGACCAGGGCUACACACGUGCUACAAUGGUCGGUACAAAGGGUUGCUACCUAGCGAUAGGAUGCUAAUCUCAAAAAGCCGAUCGUAGUCCGGAUUGGAGUCUGCAACUCGACUCCAUGAAGUCGGAAUCG